rnacentral:rRNA from 1 species
GAUGAACGCUGGCGGCGUGCCUAACACAUGCAAGUCGAGCGAUUCUCUUCGGAGAAGAGCGGCGGACGGGUGAGUAACGCGUGGGUAACCUGCCCUGUACACACGGAUAACAUACCGAAAGGUAUGCUAAUACGAGAUAAUAUGCUUUUAUCGCAUGGUAGAAGUAUCAAAGCUUUUGCGGUACAAGAUGGACCCGCGUCUGAUUAGCUAGUUGGUAAGGUAACGGCUUACCAAGGCGACGAUCAGUAGCCGACCUGAGAGGGUGAUCGGCCACAUGGGAACUGAGACACGGUCCAAACUCCUACGGGAGGCAGCAGUGGGGAAUAUUGCACAAUGGGCGAAAGCCUGAUGCAGCAACGCCGCGGGAGCGAUGAAGGCCUUCGGGUCGUAAAGCUCUGUCCCCAAGGAAGAUAAUGACGGUACUUGAGGAGGAAGCCCCGGCUAACUACGUGCCAGCAGCCGCCGUAA